GAUGAACGCUGGCGGCGUGCCUAAUACAUGCAAGUCGAGCGAACAGACGAGGAGCUUGCUCCUCUGAUGUUAGCGGCGGACGGGUGAGUAACACGUGGAUAACCUACCUAUAAGACUGGGAUAACUUCGGGAAACCGGAGCUAAUACCGGAUAACAUGUUGAACCGCAUGGUUCAACAGUGAAAGACGGUCUUGCUGUCACUUAUAGAUGGAUCCGCGCCGCAUUAGCUAGUUGGUAAGGUAACGGCUUACCAAGGCAACGAUGCGUAGCCGACCUGAGAGGGUGAUCGGCCACACUGGAACUGAGACACGGUCCAGACUCCUACGGGAGGCAGCAUUAGGGAAUCUUCCGCAAUGGGCGAAAGCCUGACGGAGCAACGCCGCGUGAGUGAAGAAGGUCUUCGGAUCGUAAAACUCUGUUAUUAGGGAAGAACAAAUGUGUAAGUAACUAUGCACGUCUUGACGGUACCUAAUCAGAAAGCCACGGCUAACUACGUG
rnacentral:rRNA from 1 species